CCAAAUGACACCCACGUUCAGGGGGUCCCAUGUGGGUUCCCCAGCUGUGAGAUUGGGGUCUGUGAGCUCGCACUUGCUCAGGUCAGCUGUUUCUGUGGGCUUCUUCAGCAUGGUCCCCACCCCCCUGCUCAUCCCUCCCUCUUCACCACUGGACUCCGGGAGUUUGGCUCAGCGCCCAGUUGAGGGUCUCUGCAUCUGCUUCCAUCAGCCACUGGAUGAAGGCUCUAGGAUGGCAUUCAAGGGGCACUGUGUCAACUUCCUCGUGGCCGUGACCAAGACAGGGGAGAAAAAACUAAAAGCACCACUUUUUAAGAAAUACAGUAUGAUAUGGAGGCAUGCAUCUCACCGUACCCAUGUGAGGUCAGAAGACAAUUUAUGAGAGUUGGCUUGCUGCUUCCCAAUGGAACUCCAGUCAUCAAAUUUGGAGACAAAUGCCUGUACCCGCUGAGCCAUCUGGCCACCCCAUAGAUUUGUAAUGUAUUUUUAAAAUCAGAAAACGGGGCCUGGAGAGAUGGCUCAGAGGUUAACAGCAUUGGCUGUUUUUCCCAAGGAUCUGAGUUCAAUUCCCAGCAACCACAUGGUGGCUAGCGACCGUCUGUAAUGAGAUCUGGCGCCCUCUUCUGGCUAUCGGGCAUACGGAUAGAUGCUGUAUACUAAAUAAAUCUAAAAACUGUUUUUUAAAAAAA